AUUGAACGCUGGCGGCAUGCCUUACACAUGCAGGUCGAACGGUAACAGGUCUUCGGAUGCUGACGAGUGGCGAACGGGUGAGUAAUACAUCGGAACGUGCCUAGUAGUGGGGGAUAACUACUCGAAAGAGUGGCUAAUACCGCAUGAGAUCUACGGAUGAAAGCAGGGGAUCGCAAGACCUUGUGCUACUAGAGCGGCCGAUGGCAGAUUAGGUAGUUGGUGGGAUAAAAGCUUACCAAGCCGACGAUCUGUAGCUGGUCUGAGAGGACGAUCAGCCACACGGGGACUGAGAAACGGCCCAGACUCCUACGGGAGGCAGCAGUGGGGAAUUUUGGACAAUGGGCGCAAGCCUGAUCCAGCAAUGCCGCGUGCAGGAUGAAGGCCUUCGGGUUGUAAACUGCUUUUGUACGGAACGAAAAGCCCCGGGUUAAUACCCUGGGGUCAUGACGGUACCGUAAGAAUAAGCACCGGCUAACUACGUGCCAGCCGCCGCCGUAA
rnacentral:rRNA from 1 species